rnacentral:rRNA from 1 species
AGACGUCUACAUUAGAUACCCCUGUAGUCCUAGCCGUAAACGAUACUCGCUAGGUGUCGGCCACGGUGCGACCGUUGUCGGUGCCGUAGGGAAGCCGUGAAGCGAGCCACCUGGGAAGUACGGCCGCAAGGCUGAAACUUAAAGGAAAUUGGCGGGGGAGCACAACAACGGGUGGAGCUUGCGGUUUAAUUGGAUUCAACGCCGGAAAUCUUACCGGGACCGACAGCAACAUGAAGGCCAAGCUGAAGACUUUGCCGGAUUAGCUG